rnacentral:rRNA from 2 species
GGGGAAUAUUGCGCAAUGGGGGAAACCCUGACGCAGCAACGCCGCGUGCGGGAUGAAGGCCUUCGGGUUGUAAACCGCUUUCAGCAGGGACGAAGGGUUUCUGACGGUACCUGCAGAAGAAGCACCGGCUAACUACGUGCCAGCAGCCGCGGUAAUACGAAGGGGGCUAGCGUUGCUCGGAAUCACUGGGCGUAAAGCGCACGUAGGCGGAUCGUUAAGUCAGGGGUGAAAUCCUGGGGCUCAACCUCAGAACUGCCCUUGAUACUGGCGAUCUCGAGUUCGAGAGAGGUUGGUGGAACUCCGAGUGUAGAGGUGAAAUUCGUAGAUAUUCGGAAGAACACCAGUGGCGAAGGCGGCCAACUGGCUCGAUACUGACGCUGAGGUGCGAAAGCGUGGGGAGCAAACA